rnacentral:rRNA from 1 species
UGGUGGCGAUAGCGAAGAGGUCACACCCGUUCCCAUACCGAACACGGAAGUUAAGCUCUUCAGCGCCGAUGGUAGUUGGGGGCUGUCCCCCUGUGAGAGUAGGACGUUGCCAGGCA